rnacentral:misc_RNA from 1 species
AGCUGAGAAACCGCCGACCUCAGGGUUCAAGAGAACUCUUCUCUGCCUCUCUUUGUCUGUACAUAUUGGAAGAUAACACAAAAAAUGGCGAAAGGGGAUGAUGCAGUGAUGAGAAAGAAGAACAAAGCAAAAAGAAAGAAACUGAAUGGAGAAAACUCUAAUGUUUCAUCUCGGGUUGCUUCCAUUAUCGCCGCCAAGAAGCGCCGCCAGUCUGGUAAACGCCGAAUCUGCCAGGGAAUGUGUUUCAGCCUUCCUACUCCUGAUGAUCCAUUCAAUGAGCGGC